rnacentral:rRNA from 1 species
AUUGAACGCUGGCGGCAUGCUUUACACAUGCAAGUCGAACGGUAACAGGCCUUCGGGUGCUGACGAGUGGCGAACGGGUGAGUAAUGCAUCGGAACGUGCCCAGAGGUGGGGGAUAACGCAGCGAAAGCUGUGCUAAUACCGCAUGUGAUCUGAGGAUGAAAGCGGGGGACCAAGCAGCAAUGUUUGGCCUCGCGCCUCUGGAGCGGCCGAUGUCAGAUUAGGUAGUUGGUGGGGUAAAGGCCUACCAAGCCGACGAUCUGUAGCUGGUCUGAGAGGACGACCAGCCACACUGGGACUGAGACACGGCCCAGACUCCUACGGGAGGCAGCAGGGGGGAAUUUUGGACAAUGGGCGCAAGCCUGAUCCAGCAAUGCCGCGUGCGGGAAGAAGGCCUUCGGGUUGUAAACCGCUUUUGUACGGAACGAAAAGGCUCUGGCUAAUACCUGGGGCUGAUGACGGUACCGUAAGAAUAAGCACCGGCUAACUACGUG